rnacentral:rRNA from 1 species
GGAAUAUUGGUCAAUGGACGAAAGUCUGAACCAGCCAUGCCGCGUGGAGGAUGAAUGCCCUCUGGGUUGUAAACUCCUUUUAUAUGGGACGAAAAAAGAUCUUUCUAGAUCCCUUGACGUUACCAUUUGAAUAAGAACGGGCUACCUCCGUGCCACCACCCGCGGUAAUACGGAGGGUGCAAGCGUUAUCCGGAUUCACUGGGUUUAAAGGGUGCGUAGGUGGACUGGUAAGUCAGUGGUGAAAUCUCCGAGCUUAACUUGGAAACUGCCAUUGAUACUAUUAGUCUUGAAUAUUGUGGAGGUCAGCGGAAUAUGUCAUGUAGCGGUGAAAUGCUUAGAUAUGACAUAGAACACCAAUUGCGAAGGCAGCUGACUACGCAUAUAUUGACACUGAGGCACGAAAGCGUGGGGAUCAAAC